rnacentral:rRNA from 1 species
GGGAACUGCGUUNUGAACUGGGUGACUAGAGUGUGUCAGAGGGAGGUCGANUUCCACGUGUAGCAGUGAAAUGCGUAGAGAUGUGGAGGAAUACCGAUGGCGAAGCCAGCNUCCUGGGAUAACACUGACGUUCAUGCCCGAAAGCGUGGGUAGCAAACAGGAUUAGAUACCCUGGUAGUCCACGCCCUAAACGAUGUCGAUUAGCUGUUGGGCAGCAUGACUGCUUAGUAGCGAAGCUAACGCGUGAAAUCGACCGCCUGGGGAGUACGGUCGCAAGAUUAAAACUCAAAGGAAUUGACGGGGACCCGCACAAGCGGUGGAUGAUGUGGAUUAAUUCGAUGCAACGCGAAGAACCUUACCUGGUCUUGACAUGUACGGAACCCUCCAGAGACGGAGGGGUGCCUUCGGGAGCCGUAACACAGGUGCUGCAUGGCUGUCGUCAGCUCGUGUCGUGAGAUGUUGGGUUAAGUCCCGCAACGAGCGCAACCCUUGUCAUUAGUUGCCAUCAUUAAGUUGGGCACUCUAAUGAGACUGCCGGUGACAAGCCGGAGGAAGGUGGGGAUGACGUCAAGUCCUCAUGGCCCUUAUGACCAGGGCUUCACACGUCAUACAAUGGUCGGUACAGAGGGUAGCCAAGCCGCGAGGUGGAGCCAAUCUCACAAAACCGAUCGUAGUCCGGAUUGCACUCUGCAACUCGAGUGCAUGAAGUCGGAAUCGCUAGUAAUCGCAGGUCAGCAUACUGCGGUGAAUACGUUCCCGGGUCUUGUACACAC